GUGCGCGUGAUCAGAGCGGCACCCCCUUCCCAGGAACCGCAGCUGAACCAACGGUUUCCCCUGCACCAGCCUUUGCGACCAGGUGGGGCUUCAGACCAGAAGACCAUGUAGCACCAAAAAGAUAGCUGCAAAGCGGAAUAAAGUUGGGGAAAACAAUCUGCUGGCCGGAAGAGAGUAAGAUGCAGGAGGAUGAUUGCCGGUUCUCCGCAGCACGAGUCAGGGAGGCCAUGAGAUGGAAGAGCCACCCCACAAUGGGAAGAACCUGGAGACAAGGUUCUCCUUGUCUAUGCCCAA
rnacentral:lncRNA from 1 species